rnacentral:rRNA from 1 species
GCGACAGAGACUGCGGAGGACAUUACAGAGUUCAUGCCCGAAAGGGUAGACCUCCCACCCUUGUGUAUUAUUACUUUGUUGCUUUGGCGAGCUGCCUUCGGGCCUUGUAUGCUCGCCAGAGAAUACCAAAACUCUUUUUAUUAAUGUCGUCUGAGUACUAUAUAAUAGUUAAAACUUUCAACAACGGAUCUCUUGGUUCUGGCAUCGAUGAAGAACGCAGCGAAAUGCGAUAAGUAAUGUGAAUUGCAGAAUUCAGUGAAUCAUCGAAUCUUUGAACGCACAUUGCGCCCCUUGGUAUUCCGGGGGGCAUGCCUGUUCGAGCGUCAUUUCAACCCUCAAGCUUAGCUUGGUAUUGAGUCUAUGUCAGUAAUGGCAGGCUCUAAAAUCAGUGGCGGCGCCGCUGGGUCCUGAACGUAGUAAUAUCUCUCGUUACAGGUUCUCGGUGUGCUUCUGCCAAAACCCAAAUUUUUCUAUGGUUGACCUCGGAUCAGGUAGGGAUACCCGCUGAACUUAAGCAUAUAA